rnacentral:lncRNA from 1 species
CAAAGAGACAGUGUGGCAUACCAAUGAUAAUGCAACUUCAUGUGAUGUUGUGGAGGAUACGGGAUACAGGACAUUGCCUAAGAUACUGAGCCAUAUCGCCCCAGCAUUUUGCAUGAGCAGCUGUAGCUUCGUAGUGGAAAAAUCUAAAGAAUCCACAGCACGUGUUGUAGUUUGGAGGGAAAUAGGAGUACAAAGAAGUUAUACCAUGGAGAGUACUUUAUGUGGCUGUGAUCAGGGAAAAUACAAGGGUUUACAGAUUGGUACCCGAGAACUGGAAGAGAUGGGAGCAAAAUUUUGUGUUGGUCUUUUACGUUUGAAAAGACUGACCUCUCCAUUGGAGUAUAAUCUGCCUUCCAGCCUGCUUGACUUUGAAAAUGAUUUAAUUGAAUCAAGCUGCAAAGUAACUAGGUAGGAAAAAAUUGUUUUUUCUUUUAUUAUAUUGUAGUAUAUUAUUAGACUUCAUUAAAAUAGCAGAAAAGGCAUGGAAAUUUUGACAGGCAAGAGCAUGUUUAGAAUUAAUAUAAUUAAGUUAAUACAUCAAAUAUUUGUUCCAAUUUAUAUUGCUGAUUCUUUUAAUGUUGAUAUUUGGAUGAGAUUUUAAUAAAAAUAUAUUUC